UACGUAGGGUGCAAGCGUUAAUCGGAAUUACUGGGCGUAAAGCGUGCGCAGGUCGGUUUUGUAAGCCAGAUGUCGAAAGCCCCGGGCUCAACCUGGGAACUGCGUUUGGAACUACAAGACUAGAGUGUGUGGAGAGGGGGGUAGAAUUCCAAGUGUAGCGGUGAAAUGCGUAGAGAUUUGGAGGAAUACCAGUGGCGAACGGCGGCCCCCUGGCACAACACUGACGCUCAGG
rnacentral:rRNA from 1 species